rnacentral:rRNA from 1 species
CCUACGGGAGGCAGCAGUGAGGAAUAUUGGUCAAUGGACGAGAGUCUGAACCAGCCAAGUAGCGUGAAGGAUGACUGCCCUAUGGGUUGUAAACUUCUUUUAUAUGGGAAUAAAACGUUCCACGUGUGGGAUUUUGUAUGUACCAUAUGAAUAAGGAUCGGCUAACUCCGUGCCAGCAGCCGCGGUAAUACGGAGGAUCCGAGCGUUAUCCGGAUUUAUUGGGUUUAAAGGGAGCGUAGGUGGAUUGUUAAGUCAGUUGUGAAAGUUUGCGGCUCAACCGCAAAAUUGCAGUUGAAACUGGCAGUCUUGAGUACAGUAGAGGUGGGCGGAAUUCGUGGUGUAGCGGUGAAAUGCUUAGAUAUCACGAAGAACUCCGAUUGCGAAGGCAGUUCACUGGACUGCAACUGACACUGAGGCUCGAAAGUGUGGGUAUCAAACAGGAUUAGAUACCCUUGUAGUC